UUAGCACAGCAAAGGUGAUUUCAUCUUGUGUCAUCUGAUGUUGGGAGAGUAUUCUUGAUGAAGGCCCUUCAUCAUUAAGAGAUCGCCCCUGAAUAUCAAGAUAGAUAAAAAAGAUGCAAUCAGUGGAUGCUGCAUUGGAGAAGAGUAGAGCUGAUAUAAUUUAUGCUGUCCUUAAAUGUCAUGCGAUUCCCCCACAAGAAACCAUGUGGUUUUUGGUAAAGAAAAGAGAGCGGUAAUCAGGUGUCGACAAUGUGGUCCCACUGUCUUAUUAUGCUCAAGUUGUGAUGUUGUCACCCAUAAUAGUAAACCAUUACAUGACAGUGUGGCUUGGUUUAAUGGUUUCUACCAGUCAGUUUCCACAACUGAAACAUUCUCGUCAAAUGGGCAGUUGGGGUUUGUUAAACGAUAUGCACCAUUUCUGUUUUGUAAAGAGUGUAUAAAUUGUAACUCUAAGAAUGAAUUAUCCAUUAUUCCAAGUGACGACAUGUGUAUUGUACUCACAAUGAAUGUAGAGCAGAAACAUUGUAUUCAUUUUCAUACAGUUGCUCAUACUGCAAUCAGCAUUUUCACCAAUGGUGAUGGAGAAAGUAGUAAGUGAAGGAUAUUGUCCUGGUAGCCCCACAAAUUUUAACUAUGUUUUCAGUGAAGAUGUAAUUAGAAUGUGGGAUUCCAUCAGAAAGCACAUGCCUGGCAAAUCCGAAUCGGCAUUUUAAAAUCUUUGGGGUCAGUGUCCACUUCAAAGAACAGUGUAAAAUCUCAAUAGUAUAAGAUGUUGUUUUAUAACGAAGAUGCUUCAUAUUAAAGUACCUAACUGAAAUAAUUUACUUAGUCAAAGUAAAUUGCAGCUUUUUUAAUUAACGUAGAAGGUGUUUUAUUUGACUGAAGGCAUUGUUUAUUUUCAUUUUCAUUUCCAGUCAGAUGUUAUUAAACCUAGAGUUUUCCAUCGUGUAUUCAAAGAGUAGUGUUUGUUUGUCAUGAAAUUGACUUAAUUGUGGGGGAAUGGAUACAAUGCCCCAGUUGCUAUAUAUCCCGGCAUUACUGUCAUUUUGAUGGUAAUGCUAAACUCUAUCGCUACAAAUGUGUUCCAAUGUACUGUGUUUUUUAUUAGAAAUGUAAGUAAAAUUUUUGUAAUUUUAAUAAUGUGCAUUGCUUGUGUUUCGAUGUUACCUGUUUUAGCAGUGAAACAUUUGUACUAUGUUGUGUGAAGUCAAAUGAAUGAGAUGUAAAUGAAACGGCUUUCAGCUUUAUUGUUGUUUUAUAGAAGGGGAAGAAAAUGUUACUACCUUAAUGUGUUUAUUAAAGAGGACGAACCUGUCAAGGAGCAUCUAAGGAGUGUUUAUUCCCACAAGUCAGCGAAGGGGCAGUCUGCAAACUCAUACUGUGGAACUUCCCACUGGAAAGCUGCAAAAAUACCACUAAUUCUCUGUCAAAGCUUGACAAAACUGGUUUGGUGGUUGCUGGUUGUCGCCAUUCAAUAGCUCAAGAUGCUGUUGAUAUGCACCAAGGAGAGUUGUAUGGGUAUACCCAUUACAUUCAAAUGAACAAACUAGUUCCUCGCAAAUUCUUUGGCAAGAUAUUAUCUGCAAUUACAUUAGGAGGGCCCUGGCAGCAAGAAACUGGUUACACUACAGGAGAGGAGAUAAAGAAUUUGCUUUAAGAAAACCAGAAAGAACUUGAUGCUCUGUUGAGUGAAAUGAGCAUCGCAGAAUGUCGAGGGAAACUUCAAAUAUGGUUGUCUGAAAUAGCCAACUGUGGAAAACGUUUGUAGCUAAUUUUGCGAAAUUGUCUAUUUGCAAACUAUGGGCAUUAAUAUUUCGUUUGAUUUAUAAUUAGGGUUUGUGCUUAAAAGGUACUUAAAACCCUUGAAAAAUCCUUGAAUAAGGACACUGAAAGAAGUACUUCAAAAUCAAAAAAUUAAAAUCAAAAAGUAGUCCAUAGA